rnacentral:rRNA from 1 species
GGGUUGUGAGGUUAAGCGACUAAGCGUACACGGUGGAUGCCCUGGCAGUCAGAGGCGAUGAAGGGCGUGCUAAUCUGCGAUAAGCGCCGGUAAGGUGAUAUGAACCGUUAUAACCGGCGAUACCCGAAUGGGGAAACCCAGUGUGAUUCGUCACACUAUCAUUAACUGAAUCCAUAGGUUAAUGAGGCGAACCGGGGGAACUGAAACAUCUAAGUACCCCGAGGAAAAGAAAUCAACCGAGAUUCCCCCAGUAGCGGCGAGCGAACGGGGAGGAGCCCAGAGCCUGAAUCAGCAUGUGUGUUAGUGGAAGCGUCUGGAAAGGCGCGCGAUACAGGGUGACAGCCCCGUACACAAAAGCGCAUGUGCUGUGAGCUCGAUGAGUAGGGCGGGACACGUGAUAUCCUGUCUGAAUAUGGGGGGACCAUCCUCCAAGGCUAAAUACUCCUGACUGACCGAUAGUGAACCAGUACCGUGAGGGAAAGGCGAAAAGAACCCCGGCGAGGGGAGUGAAAAAGAACCUGAAACCGUGUACGUACAAGCAGUGGGAGCACCCUUU